AGACAAUAGAUUUCUAGUAAUGCAGGCAAUAGAUUUCUAGCAAUGCAGACAAUAGCAUUGCUAGAAAUCUAUUGCCUGCAUUGCUAGAAAUCUA
rnacentral:pre_miRNA from 1 species